rnacentral:lncRNA from 1 species
AUGCCAGACUCAUCUUGGCAACCUUACCAUAACCUCUCUAAAGCCAAAUAUCUGCUUGUUCAGGUCCAACCGUCCAUUGAGAGGCAAUGCACGUUAAGCCCCACGCCCAUGUCUCUGGGCCUGUUCAAUCUUAGAAGAGAACCUCCUCCCUAUGAGUCCCAGAUGAAGAAGAUGAGACUCAGAGCAAUUCAUAAGUUGCCCAAGGUCAGAGAGCAAGUAAGUACCAGAAAUAAAAGUCACAUAAAUCUAAUUCCCAUAUCCUUCCUCUUUCAAUGAUGUUUCAGAGUUGAUUACAAAAAGAAUCAUUCUGUGUGCUCAGGAUAAUUUACUACCAACUAAAUUUAACCAUAGGGCAGUCUUAUAAACAGGGUAGAGUAUGCAGUUAAGAUAAAAUUUGAGAAGAAAAAAUUAAAUUAAAAUAGUACAUAACCAGUGAUCAGAAUAUUUUCUCAGUAUUUUAGAAAUUUAUGUGAGAAUAAACUAGAUACUGAUGAAAAAAUUCACAUUCUUUACGCACAAAUCUUGUAAGUAGCUACUGUUAAAGAAAGGAUAUUAUUUACCUAGAAAAAAGUGGGCUUGUCAAUCACUAUAUAACCAUUCGUGGGGUGAAUGUCUUUAUUUUAGGCCUCUGGCUGAUGGAUCCAAGAGGUAGAUACGUGAUGUCAAAAUAUUCUCUUUUAUAGGUAAUUACGAUUUACAAUAAAAGAUACAGAGGCCACAAGGUAGUAGAGUUGAGUUAUAUUAACAGAAAACCUUGGGAGAGAAAGAAACCACCUCUCACUAUCAUGUUCAAUGGCAAGAUUAAUAGAAGGUACAGCAAAGUGGAAACACAUGCGAGUAUACCCACAUUGAUAUUGGAAGUAAUUUUUAUCUUACAUACUAAAAGUCAUAUCCCAGAAUAUACUCAUAAUGUGUACACUUAUUGGGAUAUUACAAUCAACAUACAAAAUAUGUACCAUAUGUACAUUGACUGUGAUGUAUGUAUGUGUACACAAUACAGAUGAACAAAAAAUGUACAUAAUCUGUACAAUAUGUACAUUUGUAUGUACAUAAUCUGUACACAAUAGGUAUGUACAUAAUGUGUACAAUAUGUAAAUAUAUUGUAAUAUCACAAUGAUCUAAUAUAAUCACAACAGCAUAUAUAAUCACAAUACACAUAUAAUACAUAAUAUCAAUAUAAAUGUACAUAUUGCACACAUAUACAUUUACAUUUAUUGUGAUAUGAUAUGUACACAUGUACAUCAUGCACACGUGCAGAUGUGCAGUAUAUACACGUGAACAUAAGUGUGCACAGUAUGUACAUAUGUACACCACAUGUUCAUAUAAUGUAGACAUGUACCUUCUGUACACGAGUAAACAAUAUGCACAAUAUGUACACGUAUAUACUAGGUACAAAUAUGGGUGUAUACCCGCUUUGGUAACCGGAGAGAUUUCUAUCUAAUAUACUAAAUAUAAUAUCCCAGAAUGUAGUCAGU